CGCCUUGUCUCAGGAAAAAUUAUCGGUAGGUUAGAGCGCACCCCUGAUAAGGGUGAGGUCGGUGGUUCAAGUCCACUCAGGCCUACCA
rnacentral:tRNA from 2 species